rnacentral:rRNA from 1 species
UACGUAGGGGGCCAGCGUUGUCCGAAGUUACUGGGCGUAAAGAGUGUGUAGGCGGUGCUCUAAGUUCGGUGUGAAAUCUCCCGGCUUAACUGGGAGGGUGCGCCGGAAACUGGAGUGCUCGAGCGUGGGAGAGGAAAGCGGAAUUCCUGGUGUAGCGGUGAAAUGCGUAGAUAUCAGGAGGAACACCUGCGGUGUAGACGGCUUUCUGGACCAUUGCUGACGCUGAGACACGAAAGCGUGGGUAGCAAACAGG